ACGGGGCUAAACCAUGCACCGAAGCUGCGGCAGCGACACUCAGGUGUUGUUGGGUAGGGGAGCGUUCUGUAAGCCUGUGAAGGUGGCCUGUGAGGGUUGCUGGAGGUAUCAGAAGUGCGAAUGCUGACAUAAGUAACGAUAAAGCGGGUGAAAAGCCCGCUCGCCGGAAGACCAAGGGUUCCUGUCCAACGUUAAUCGGGGCAGGGUGAGUCGACCCCUAAGGCGAGGCCGAAAGGCGUAGUCGAUGGGAAACGGGUUAAUAUUCCCGUACUUGGUGUUACUGCGAAGGGGGGACGGAGAAGGCUAUGUUGGCCGGGCGACGGUUGUCCCGGUUUAAGCGUGUAGGUGUGUGUUCCAGGUAAAUCCGGUUCACUUUAACACUGAGGCGUGAUGACGAGGCACUACGGUGCUGAAGCAACAAAUGCCCUGCUUCCAGGAAAAGCCUCUAAGCAUCAGGUAACAUCAAAUCGUACCCCAAACCGACACAGGUGGUCAGGUAGAGAAUACCAAGGCGCUUGAGAGAACUCGGGUGAAGGAACUAGGCAAAAUGGUGCCGUAACUUCGGGAGAAGGCACGCUGACACGUAGGUGAAGUGAUUUACUCAUGGAGCUGAAGUCAGUCGAAGAUACCAGCUGGCUGCAACUGUUUAUUAAAAACACAGCACUGUGCAAACACGAAAGUGGACGUAUACGGUGUGACGCCUGCCCGGUGCCGGAAGGUUAAUUGAUGGGGUCAGCGCAAGCGAAGCUCCUGAUCGAAGCCCCGGUAAACGGCGGCCGUAACUAUAACGGUCCUAAGGUAGCGAAAUUCCUUGUCGGGUAAGUUCCGACCUGCACGAAUGGCGUAAUGAUGGCCAGGCUGUCUCCACCCGAGACUCAGUGAAAUUGAACUCGCUGUGAAGAUGCAGUGUACCCGCGGCAAGACGGAAAGACCCCGUGAACCUUUACUAUAGCUUGACACUGAACAUUGAGCCUUGAUGUGUAG
rnacentral:rRNA from 1 species